rnacentral:rRNA from 1 species
AUUGAACGCUGGCGGCAGGCCUAACACAUGCAAGUCGAACGCGUGGCGCACGGGUGAGUAAUGUCCGGGAAACUGUCUGAAGGAGGGGGAUAACUACUGGAAACGCGAGCUCUUAUCGCACACCAUCGGAUGUGCCCAGAUGGGAUUAUCUAGUAGGUGGGGUAAAGGCGCACCUAGGCGACGAUCCCUAGCUGGUCUGAGAGGAUGAGCAGCCACACUGGAACUGAGACACGGUCCAGACUCCUACGGGAGGCAGCAGUGGGGAAUAUUGCACAAUGGGCGCAAGCCUGAUGCAGCCAUGCCGCGUGUAUGAAGAAGGCCUUCGGGUUGUAAAGUACUUUCAGCGGGGAGGCGUUACCCGCAGAAGAAGCACCGGCUAACUCCGUGCCAGCAGCCGCGGUAAUAC